CUGCCUGCUUUGUGUUAGCUCCAGAUGGGUUUCUCGUUUGCGUUGGUUCCUGUUUGGUUGCUGUACGUGUUCCUCUUCUUUUUUUUUUUUUUUCUUCUUUUUCCGUGACAUUUUGUGGCAUGCAUGGGCCGCUAUGGGGUCCUCACCACUACGCGGCGCUAAGCCAGCGAAGAUACGCAGCGCGCCAUUUCGUUCACUCGGAAAAUGACUCUGGACAUGGACAAGUGGACGACGGAUGAUGUCUGCGCAUGGUCGACCAGAAAGCCGAUUGGGAUCUGCGUGUUCUGCCUUUCAAGACAAUCCUUGAAGGGUCGGCCUCCUGAGCCUGCCAUUGGUGUUCCAUGAAAGAGACACCUGCUCUUCACGUCCAACAACAACGUAAGUGUGUUGACACCGAUCAUCCAAGUCAAGGAGGAUGAAUUUUGUGUUUUCGUUGAUGGCCUGGAAGCCGUGACCGGCAUCACCACAGAAAUUGAAGCUGUUAGUACAUUGUUUGCCCUUUACUACAUCUUUGAUGUGAAGCACCCAGCAGACAUCUCACACACGAUGAAAUGUAUCGCUCACUUUUUUUUUGUU